rnacentral:rRNA from 1 species
AGUGAACGCUGGCGGUAGGCCUAACACAUGCAAGUCGAACGGCAGCACAGUAAGAGCUUGCUCUUACGGGUGGCGAGUGGCGGACGGGUGAGGAAUACAUCGGAAUCUACUUUUUCGUGGGGGAUAACGUAGGGAAACUUACGCUAAUACCGCAUACGACCUGCGGGUGAAAGCAGGGGAUCUUCGGACCUUGCGCGAUUGAAUGAGCCGAUGUCGGAUUAGCUAGUUGGCGGGGUAAAGGCCCACCAAGGCGACGAUCCGUAGCUGGUCUGAGAGGAUGAUCAGCCACACUGGAACUGAGACACGGUCCAGACUCCUACGGGAGGCAGCAGUGGGGAAUAUUGGACAAUGGGCGCAAGCCUGAUCCAGCCAUACCGCGUGGGUGAAGAAGGCCUUCGGGUUGUAAAGCCCUUUUGUUGGGAAAGAAAAGCAGCAGGCUAAUACCCCGCUGUUCUGACGGUACCCAAAGAAUAAGCACCGGCUAACUUCGUG